UUAUUUAUGUGUAUAUGUAUGUGUGUGCAUCGGUGUAGAUGCACCAAGUGUGCAGGCGUCCUUGGAGGCCAGAGGGCAUUGGUUCCUCUGUGACAGACAGCUGUGAGCAACUUGACAUAGGUACUGGGAACAGAGCUCUUAACAACCGAUCCAUCUCUCCAGACCUUUUUCUUUCUUUUGCUGUGAUUUUUUUUUAUCUUGUUUGAUUAGUUUAUUAAUUAUUGAAGUAAAUUAAUCUCUUACUGGUAAAGACAAAUGCAUCUUAACUUACUGAUACUUCCUUGUUGUCAAGUAAAGAGUGAUUUUUUUUUCUACUACUGUCCUUUGAGGCUUGGUGGCUGCAGAAAGAGGACAUCUGGGGCAGAGGAAGAAACAACUCUGGGAACUUCCAACAUCCUGCCAUGAACUUGUCUGCCACAAUGGCCACUCAGAAAGAGAACCCGGAAACUCAGCGAGUAGACCAUGAUGACAGGAAAAUCACAAUAAACCUAAGACCUUCCGUGGUCCUGAGAAGCAGGAUGACAGAGAGGAAAACCAAGCAACAAAAAGGUGUGUCCUGUCACCGAUCCAGUGAUGGUCACUCUGCCCUCCAUGUUUUCCCUUCGGCUUGGACGGCUCGCUCUUUACUCUGGUCCAGUUUGGUGGAAUGUGGUUGGGGGCCUGUGGUACAGCUUACGCUUCUUCACCCUGUUGCCAGCUGAGAGUCCUAGCGAGAGAGCAAUGCAGCUGCACCCCAGGCCCGCGAGGGGUGGACUGCAAACCCAGUGACUGAUGGGAGGUAGGGCCAGGACCCCAAACGAUGC